rnacentral:lncRNA from 1 species
GAUAAAAGCUCGACCGAGCUCGACUCGAUUUCUAAAUGAGCCAAGCUCGAGCUUAAUUUUUAGGCUCGUUUGGUAAACGAGCCAAGCUUGAGCUCCAUAGUAUUCGGCUCGUUAAGGCUCGUGAGCUCGACUCGUUUCUGAGUUCAUGAGCAGGCUCGCGAAUAGGCUCGUGAACAGUCUCGUUAAGUAAACUGAAAUUACUAUCAUAAG